CCAGGGGCGGCUGCGGAGGCCGCGACGGCUCCGGGCAGGCGAGGCCGGCCCGUGGGGAAGGGGGCACAGGCCCCCGGAGCGGCCGAAACUGCUGCUGGAGAACUUGGUUCCUGAGCCGCUUUCUCCUCCGCGAAAGGACUCUGCGCGCCUCACGGCCCUCGUCCCCCGACGCUUCUCCUCUGAUGAGAGGAUUCCAGACGACAGCGCCGAGUUUCCAGGAUGAGUAUGGAGACAAACAAGGCAUGAGGCACCCUGGAGAAAUCGUGUGUCCAUCAGCAUCUCUCUUCGGCCCAUUCUGGCUCCAGGUACACGUGAGGAGUCCUGCACAGGGCUGGAGGGAAGGGCUAGGAAGUCGGGGCUGAUCCUGCACAGAAGGGUUGGCAGGCUCAGGUGACACUAAGAUCCACUGGGAGGUUGGGUCCCCCUCUUUCAGGGUCGUGCUCUGGCAUAUGAGGUGUUCUACAGAAUUUUGGGCUAGGACUGGGGUUCUUAUUCUGCCCUCUUAGCUUCUAGCUGAGGGAACUUGCCAUUCACAAUGAUGUCCCACCACGGGAUGCUGUCAAAUUCUGGUACCACGGACACCCAGCUCUUGCCCAAGAGUGGUUCUGCUGUGGCAUCUGUGAAGCUCAUCAUUUCCACCUCAAAAAACAUCGAUUCCCAGAGUUCCCGUUGUGGCUCAGUGGA
rnacentral:lncRNA from 1 species